GACGAACGCUGGCGGCGUGCUUAACACAUGCCAGUCGAACGGAAAGGCCCUGCUUUUGUGGGGUGCUCGAUUGGCGAACGGGUGAGUAACACGUGAGUAACCUGCCCUUGACUUUGGGAUAACUUCAGGAAACUGGGGCUAAUACCGUAUAGGAUCUCCUGCUGCAUGGUGGGGGUUGGAAAGUUUCGGCGGUUGGGGAUGGACUCGCGGCUUAUCGGCUUGUUGGUGGGGUAGUGGCUUACCAAGGCUUUGACGGGUAGCCGGCCUGAGAGGGUGACCGGCCACAUUGGGACUGAGAUACGGCCCAGACUCCUACGGGAGGCAGCAGUGGGGAAUAUUGCACAAUGGGCGGAAGCCUGAUGCAGCAACGCCGCGUGCGGGAUGACGGCCUUCGGGUUGUAAACCGCUUUCGCCUGUGACGAAGCGUGAGUGACGGUAAUGGGUAAAGAAGCACCGGCUAACUACGUG
rnacentral:rRNA from 1 species